AGAAUGAACGUUGGUGGCGUGGAUUAGGCAUGCAAGUCGAGCGAGAACCGACCUUUCGGGGUUGGGGAAAGCGGCAAACGGGGUAGUAAAAUGUCGGUACGUGCCCUCAGGUCGGGGAUAGCCAGGGGAAACUCUGAUUAAUACCCGAUGAUCUCGAGAGAGCAAAGGUCCGCUGCCGGAGGAGCGGCCGACACGGUAUCAGGUAGUUGGUGAGGUAAUGGCCCACCAAGCCUUAGACGCCUAGGGGGCGUGAGAGCGCGACCCCCACCACUGGGACUGAGAUACUGCCCAGACACCUACGGGUGGCUGCAGUCGAGAAUCUUCCGCAAUGGGCGAAAGCCUGACGGAGCGACGCCGCGUGCGGGAUGAAGGCCCUUGGGUUGUAAACCGCUGUCAGGGGGGAUGAAAGCCGUAAGGUUUGACAGAGCCCCAGAGGAAGCACGGGCUAAGUUCGUGCCAGCAGCCGCGGUAAGACGAACUGUGCGAACGUUAUUCGGAAUCACUGGGCUUACAGGGUGCGUAGGCGGCUUGUUAAGUAGGGUGUGAAAUCCCCCGGCCCAACCGGGGAAUUGCGCUCUAAACUAACAGGCUUGAGUAAGCUAGGGGUACACGGAACUUCCAGUGGAGCGGUGAAAUGUGUUGAUAUUGGAAGGAACACCGGAGGCGAAAGCGGUGUACUGGGGCUUAACUGACGCUGAGGCACGAAAGCCAGGGUAGCGAACGGGAUUAGAUACCCCAGUAGUCCUGGCCGUAAACGAUGAGCACUGGGCGGGAGGAGGUUCGCCUCUUCCGGCCGUAGCGAAAGCGUUAAGUGCUCCGCCUGGGGAGUAUGGUCGCAAGGCUGAAA
rnacentral:rRNA from 1 species